ensembl:lncRNA
AUGCCCCACUGCGGGUACGGCUGUGGUUCCGCUGGUUUCUAAGCGCCUGGUCAGCGCUACCCAGCCCGUCUCGCUGGCUCCUGCGGACCAUCAGCCUCGGCUAUGCGAUUCAGUUCGCCCGGCGUCCCCCCAAGUUCAGCGGUAUCCGCUUCACUACACUGAAAGUGUCCGAUGCCCCUGUUCUGCAGGAAGAGAUUGCAGUCCUACUGGCGAAGGACGCAAUAGAGCCGGUCCCUCCAGCUGAUAUGAGGAUGGGGUUUUACAGCCCUUACUUCAUUGUACCCAAGAAAGGCGGUGGGUUACGACUUGGAUCUGCGAGUUUUUAACCGGGCCUUUCGUCGGCUACCGUUCAAGAUGUUGACGCAGAAACGCAUCUUCGGGUGCGUCCAUCCCCGAGAUUGGUUUGCAGCGAUCGACCUGAAGGACGCAUACUUUCAUGUGUCGAUCCUUCCGUGCCACAGACCUUUUCUGCGGUUUGUGUUUGAAGGACGGGCAUAUCAGUACAAGGUCUUGCCCUUCUCGCUGUCCCUGCCUCCCCCGUGUCUUCACGAAAGUCGCAGGGGUGGCUUUUGUUCCCCUGAGAGAGCAGGGUGUUCGCAUUCUCAACUAUCUAGAUGAUUGGCUGAUACUAGCACAAUCUCGGGAUCAGUUGUGCGAGCACAGGGACCUGGUGCCCCGGCACCUCAGCCUGUUGGGCCUUCGGGUCAACUGGGAAAAGAGCAAACUCUUGCCAACGCAGAGGAUCUCUUUUCUCGGUAUGGAGUUGGAUUCGGUCGAACAGACAGCACGCCUCAUAGAGGAACGUGCACGGUCGGUGCUAGCCUGCUUGAAUACAUUCAAGGGCAGGACAGCGGUCCCACUGAAACUUUUUCAGAGGCUCCUGGGGCAUAUGGCGGCCGCAGCGGCACUUACACCGCUCGGCCUGCUACAUAUGAGACCGCUCCAGCACUGGCUUUAUGGCCGAGUCCCGAGGUGGGCGUGGAAGCGCGGCACUCACCGGGUCCAAGUUACACCGGCCUGUCGCCAAACCCUCACCCCGUGGUCAGAUCUUGCGUUUCUCAGGGCAGGGGUGCCCCUAGAGCAGAUCUCCAGGCAUGCUGUGGUUUACACGGAUGCCUCCACCACCGGCUGGGGGGCCACGUACAACGGGCAUGCAGUCUCAGGGGUUUGGACGGGCCCGCAGCUGCAGUGGCACAUCAAUUGCCUAGAGUUGUUAGCAGUGCACCUUGCCUUGAACCGUCUCAAAGGUCACUUACGAGGCAAGCAUGUGCUGGUCCGAACGGACAACACAGCGACCGUUGCGUACAUCAACCGACAAGGUGGUCUGCGCUCCCGUCGCAUGUCACAACUCGCCCGCCACCUCCUCCUUUGGAGUCAGAAGGUUCUGAGGUCUCUUCGUGCCNNNNNNNNNNNNNNNNNNNNNNNNN